rnacentral:lncRNA from 1 species
GUAUGUCAAAGUAAAUAAAAAUCAGAAUAUAGAAGAAAAGUUAAAAAAUAAAAAUACGAAGUUAUUUUUAAGUAAGAUAAAUGAACAAAUAAAUAAAGAGUCAAACGAUUACAAUUUAGAUAAAAACAUACAGGUAGUACCAGAAAAAAAAAGUAGUGACCAAAAGAAAAAAAGUGUUGAGAAAAAAUCCGCAAGUAAUUCGAAAAAAGAGUUACAUUUUAAAACAGUUUACAAAAAUUAUAAAGAAAAUAAUCUUACACAUAAUAACAGUAGUAGUAAUAAUAAUAGUAACAAUAGUAGUAAUAAUAAUAAUAAGAGCAAGAGUAAUAAUAGUAGUAAUAUUUUUAUUAAUACAUCUGUAAAAAGUAGUAAUAAAAUGAACAAAAAUAUUAGUAAAAAUAUUAUUAAUGAAAAAUAUAGUAAUAAAAAACAAAAUUUGAACAAAACAAGUUUGUGUAUAAGUAGAAAUAAAAAUAACAAUAUUCAAGUAGGGACUAAUAAAAGUAAAGUAGGAAGUAGAGAAAAUAAAACAGUGUCGUCACAGUUGUGUGCUCGAAUUAUACAGACAAAGAAAGAUAACCAACCUGUUUUAAAAAAUAAUAUAAAUAAUAAUUUUGAACAUAUUCUUGCCAUCACUUCUCUUAGUAAUAUUAAUACCGACAACAAUAGUGAUAAAAAUUAUAUUGAUAAAAUAAGCUAUUUUCCAAUCGAAAAUGAAGAAAAUAAAUGUAUAAUAAAAGUUGAUAAAUUAAAAGAAAGUAAUAUAAAAACAACAAGUAAAAAAAAUAAAAAAAAUAAAAAAACUACCUGUUUUCAUGAAUGCACUUUAACCGAAAGAAAAAAAAAAAAUAUGAAUAAAAUACAAAGUAAUUAUAGUUGUGCAUUUAGUUUUAUAAAUAACAAAGAAAAUAACAAUAAAAAAAAAGAAGAAAAUAAGAAUAAACAGAAAGAAGUGGAGAUAUUUAAUAAUAAUAAAUUUUUUGAUGGUGAUAAUUCUUAUAAUAGUAGUGACAAUAACAAUGAUAGUAAGCAUAAAACAAUAAAUAAUAAAAUCGACUUUGGUUUAUUAACAGAUUUUUUAAAUAAUAAUAGUGUCUUUAUAAACAACAGGUAUAAUAAUGAAAAUUGGUAUAACGAAAGUAAAUAUAACGAAAGUAGAAAUAAUUCAUUAGUUCUUAGUAUUUCCGCAUCUUCCAAUUUAAUUUCUUCACUUUCUUCCUACAAUUUUUUAAAAAACAAAAAUAAUAAAAAUAGCGUUAUAAAACAACAUGAACAACAUGAACAACAUGGACAACAUGGACAACAUGAACAACAUGGACAACAUGGACAACAUGGACAAGCAAUAAAAAUAACACCAAUCCCUAACGAACUAAACACUAACCAACGUGAUAAAAAAAAAAUUAAAUUACACAACAACUGCGAAAAUAGUUAUGAACAAAAAAAAAUUCAUGUUAAGAAUAAAAAUAUUGAUAUAAAUAAAAAAGAAAAUGGCACAUUUUCUAGCAAUAAUAUCUUAUGCAAUGAAAAUAAUAGUAG